ACCAAACAUCGAAAUACAUAUACAACAUAACAUUAAGCAUUUACAAGCCAAAAUGGCAUUUAAAAGUGAUACAAAAGUCACUACAUAUGUGGUUUGCCAAAUCAAAAGUGAAAACGGCCCUAAUGAUCCAUUUAGGGUCCCAAUUCAUAUACAAUACAAAAGAGACAUUCAUCUAGUUCAUUCGGCAAUCAUCUAUCAAGAUAUAUUCCAAAAAAGUCAUAUUCCUGUAAGGAAAACAAAAGGAACGGGGUGAGCUAAUUGCCCAGUGAAAAUACAACUCAAGCAACCAAGUUCAUAGAUGCAUCAAGCUUAACAGUCCAAUUUACCAAAAUAAGUAAAGCCACACAUCAAUAAUGAGGAUAAAAGGAUACGUGUGGCUCUCAAGAGCCCUUUUCCUCGUUUGCAUUCUUGAUCGGAUCUCAUUGACUCUCCGUCAAUGUUUAAAAGUAACCAACCGUAGACUACACUUUACUUCCAUUCCAUUCCACCUAACAUUCCUCAACCCCGCCCGCAAUCCAAACACAUGCAUGGUGGUAUUACUCGAGUAAACCGGAAUCAAGAGUCUCUCAUACUACAAGAUUCCAUAAAACAUUGCCCCACGGCACAUUAAUUGGCACGACCAAGCCCUCGCCGGCUCGAUUCAAUAAAUUACCAAUGGGGUUGAGUUCAAAGAUAACAAUUGUAGUCGUUGGACUCGUCCAAACGACAUCAAGUCAUGUAUUUCAUUUCAUAUAACAUUUCAUAUAGCAUUCCAAUAACUUUCCAAUAACAUGCGAAACAAUAAGUGAAAGUGAUAAAGUACACUCUCACUUCAAUCAAGUAACAUUCAACAUCUCAAGUUCAAGUAUCAAAGUCAUAUAAUAACACAUAAGUGAGUAGUACACUCACCACGCUAGCAAAGGUGAUUUCAAGCACUUUAGUCAAAAGAAUGUUGUGCACCACCGUCACGCCCUAAAAACAUGCAAACAAGUACAAUAAGACUCGAUAACGAGUCAUAAACCAAGGCCAAACAUGACCCCAGUAGGGUUCCAUAAGCAUAAACAAACAUGAGAGAAAACCAGAAAUUUCGGAAAUGCAAUUAGCCUUGGCCUUGAAAAAACAGUUUUUGUCCUCAUUUUGCGGUAAUGGCACCAAUUUCACUACGCUUAUCGGAUGAGGGUGAAAGACCCACCAUCUCGAAGCUAAAAGACAGGGCUACAACAUCACAGAAGGUCACUCAACCCAGUUUUGAGUGCAAACAGGUAAAAAAUGCAAGAUACUUCAACAACAACGUAAAACAGAUUCACCAAAACGCAUUCUAGCGAAAACAUUAUAACUCAGGCUCUACAAGUCCAAAUCUGGAAAUUCCAAAACCAGCUGAAAGCUAAGGAACAGGGCUAAAUUUCAUCAGAAGGCCUCAACAACCAAUUCGGAAGCAAUUCCAGCCAAAACAACCAAUUACAGUCGCAAAUCCCAAUUUCGGGUAAAGCCAGAACAGCAAUAGUAAUUUCAACUUUUCUCACUCUACGCUACUCCGAUUGACCUGAAAUUUUGUAGGCACCUCUAAAAUGUCAUUCCCUACAACUUUCAUGUUUUGAGCUAAGGCCAAUUCGGCCUCUAUCUAUGACCUAAAAUUUCGGACAGAAUGUAGCUUCAAGAACCCUAGAUUUUUCAAUUUUCUUCCAAAACCGAAAUUGGUUGCAAUUAAUCACAUUUCCCACCUCCUUAAGUCAUUAAAGACCAUUUCCAAUCAUCAUAGAUGACCCCAUAAUCAUGCUUAUAUUAAAACAGAAAAAUCCCCAAAAAUAAUAAAAUUCCAUCAUUUCAACCACAAAUCAAGAAUUAAUCCAUAAUAUUGCAUCUCUUACUACCACUAAGCAAGAUUUAAGCAUCAAUUAAAGGAGGAGGGUGGUUCUUCACAACUUACCUUUAAAAGAAGAGAGAGAGAGCUAUUGAUCACCUUAACCUUCCAAAUAACUUCACCAAACAACUCACAAACACUACUUGAAGGUGUUUUAUGGAGUAAUUUCAAGGUUGAAUGGUUGGUUGUGAUGAUUUGGAACAAGAUUGAAGUGUUUUCUUCCUUAUGCUUGGAGUAAGAGAGAGAGAAAGAAAGCUUGAGAGGGCCGGCUCUUCUUGAAGAUUUUUGGAAGAUUUUUGGGUCAUUUUUGGUUAUUUAAAGUCAAAUGGUAAGAAUAGGAAUAGUGGUCAAAUGGCAAGACUAAAUCUUAUGGUGACACUUGUCACCUUUUAUUAAAUGCUCACCUACCUUGUCUCCCUUAUAUCAAUCCACUUAGCACCCUCUACUUAUCUCUUAACACCCGGUAAAUUUAAUUUCAG
rnacentral:lncRNA from 1 species